AUGCAGAGGUCAUAGAGAACAGCUGAAGCUUGGCAUUUUGAGAAGCCAAGUAAAUCCACUGGUAAAGGUGCAGCCUCAGGGGCAGUUUGAAGAGGACAUGCAGAGAAGUUGCGGUUUGGCACGAUGAGGAGAGCCUAGGAGAGGCUAUUGGUGAAAGUGCAACCCAGUUGUAGCAGAAGACUCAUGUGUUUUGGAGAUACAGCUACCAUGGGAAGACCUCCAAGAACAACAGUCACAGUGGAGUUGAACAAACUGGAGCCUAAAAGAUGAGUUGUGUGGGCUGCAGAGGGCAGAGCAGAGAGGUGACCAGAAGAUUAGGAGUAGCCCAGACAUCAGAUGCUGUCUUACAGAUACCCGCAUGGUCCUGGGGAAGGAGUGCUGCUGCUGCUGCUGGAUCAACAAGUCUGGCCUGAAGCAAGCUAAUAUCGAGUCACUCCACACAUUGUGUGAAGAACUUUUCCAAUACAACCAGGGAAAAACUCUGUUCUGUUCUUUCUGGCAGUCUUCACUCUUCCCAUGGCUAGAUCCACCCAUAGAGACAGUUGUAAUCGUCUGUUUUUCUUUUCUCCAAGCAACUUGUCCUCUCUGCUUCCUCCACGAAGAUUUGUGAGGUCUCCAAGGUGGCAGUUAACCAAAUGUUCUUUACCCAUGCCUUUUGCCAAGUGUCAGCUCACUAUCUCCUGACUCUCCCUCCCCACAUUGUCCCAGGUCAACAGGAAGUAGCCAGAUUUGAACAAACACCCGAAUAAUCAAAAAGAUCAGAAUGUUCAGUUGGAACAUCCAACUUAGCCCUUCAUGUUCUGGAAAGUCCCAUUCCUGUUCCUCUCUCCAAACCUUGCCCACUCAGAGAGCCUCUGAACAACAACAACAACAACAACAACAACAACAACAACGACAGCCCAGUUCUGCAUUCUUGGUGGCCACUACGGCUUCCUCCCCUGAAGUUGCCAGCUGCCCAAAUCCCCAUCUAAUGUGCUCAGCUUUUGGUCAUACUUGUGUUCAGAUGUCAACCUACCAGAGGAAUGAUUCUCUGAGGGAGGAGAAUCCCAAUCAAGCAAGGCCUGUGGGACCACUGACUCUGGAAACUGUUGCUCCUAUCUGUAAUUUUACACGUGCAAAAGCAUCUACGGUGUCUCCAUAAUACCUGCACUGUAGUGUGUAAUCUCAUGUGAUAUGUAUAUGUAAUCUUAUGAUUGCAUCUCAUUCUUAUGGUACAUAUGUACAUGGAUGAUCAGGAAGAUUAGUUCUCAUUAAUCUAUAUAAUUUUGAUUUAUAGAAAAUAUACUAGGAUGUGCUUUAUAACUAGAUUUAUUGUCCCACUCAGACUAACACAAGAAAACAACUUCUCCCCAGUCUGAGACAAACUACACACAAUUAGCUCAUUUUUACCUCAGAGCAAGUUCAAACUAGAUCUUAAGUUAAAAACUUUACAGAAAUGCACAAGGAGAAAGUCACAGAUGUUAAACCAAGGUUAUUAAUACAAAUCAACCUAAAAAUCAUGCCGAUCCUUUGUUUGCUAACUGUGUCUGAUGAAGACUUAUGUCUUGCAGCUUGUCUCUCUGGGCAAUGUGCCUUUGGCAUUUGGUCACAGUAUUACACCAGAAACCUUGGGACCUUGCAUUGUCAUGGCAAAUGGAUUUGUUCUUAUUGUUUACUCCAAGAAUGUACUGAUCUUUAGAGAUAACUUUGUAACUUUUUUCUUAUUGCCUCAAGUCUCUUGUAAAAUGUGUACAUAAGCAAGGUGAUCAGGGAACUGGAACUAAAGAGAACCAGAGAUAAUUAGAACAAGGAAAUUAGAGUUGCAGAAUGGACAAGAGAAUGACCCUCAGAUUGUGUGUCAAGUUAUUAUAGAAAUCUUUCAGUCCUCACUCUGUAGAAGCAUUUUCUGAGUUACCCUGGGUAGUGGCUUGGAAACUGAACUUUCUGGGUUCUAAAGACAUCGAGGAAGAAAAUGCCAAUGCCUUUAAAAUCCAACCUCACCACCCAUCUUUCCUGCAGUCAUAUAAACAGACUCAAGUUUAAGCGGAUCCCAGAAAUGAGGUACAUAGUAUGACACACGAGGAAUUAUUGAUCAGGGGAAUACGAGACUCCCCCAAACAAUACAGAAUAUUGUUUACCAUUGCUCUUGGUGCCUUUCAGAGAAAGAAGGUAAGACCCUAUUGCUAAAGAUGUCACACACUCCAGACACAGGACUUGGGGGAAUCAGUCUGGAUCUGACCUGAAGCUUUGUCUCUGGAGAUGUGCUCUCAGCUUCCUGAGGAGCCAUGCGAUCUGUGAGUUGCUCAUGGGGAAAAGUAAUCUAUAUGCCACCCGGCUGUAAAGCCUAUGAAUUGCAAAAAUGACAAGUCAUAUUCCUAGAGGUGUAGUGGCAACACUUUAAAAAAAAUACAGACCAAUCUCCCUCACGAACAUUGAUGCAAAAACAUUCAAUAAAAGAAUGGCAAACUGAAUCCAAGAAUACAUUGGAAAAAUCAUCAAGCAUGAUCAAAUAAGCUUCAUCCCUGAAAUGCAGGGAUGGUUCAACAUAUAAAAAUCUGGCAAUGUUAUCAACCAUAUAAA